rnacentral:rRNA from 1 species
UACGUAGGGUGCGAGCGUUGUCCGGAAUUACUGGGCGUAAAGGGCGCGUAGGCGGCCUUCUAAGUCGGACGUGAAAUCCCUCGGCUUAACCGAGGAACUGCGUCCGAUACUGAAAGGCUUGAAUCCGGGAGAGGGAUGUGGAAUUCCAGGUGUAGCGGUGAAAUGCGUAGAUAUCUGGAGGAACACCGGUGGCGAAGGCGGCAUCCUGGACCGGCAUUGACGCUGAGGCGCGAAAGCUAGGGGAGCAAACGGG